AAGAUCAUCAGAGCGGGAGUCAGCUCUGUGGGGCCUUGGGUUGUUGGGGGUGCAAGCUUGGGAGGCCAGUUCUGCCUUUAUUGCGCCAAGCCAGCUCUGAGCCAAUGCGCCCCAAGGCACAGGAAGAAUGUCUACCUGCUACCUGGAAAGUCCCCGCGGAACCCCAGAGGCAGGAAACCUUGGGUGGAGCUCAUGGGGCAGCCUUCUAGGUGGGAUGAGGUGACGGGCCUCCCUGCUGCCCCUUCUUCCCUGUCCAGUGGAUGGAGUGGCAUCCUCGGGCACCUGUCCUGUUGGCGGGCACAGCCGAUGGCAACACCUGGAUGUGGAAAGUCCCGAAUGGUGACUGCAAGACCUUCCAGGGUCCCAACUGCCCAGCCACCUGUGGCCGAGUCCUCCCUGAUGGGAAGAGAGCUGUGGUAGGCUAUGAAGAUGGGACCAUCAGGAUUUGGGACCUGAAGCAGGGAAGCCCUAUCCAUGUACUGAAAGGGACUGAGGGUCACCAGGGCCCACUCACCUGUGUUGCCACCAACCAGGAUGGCAGCUUGAUCCUAACUGGCUCUGUGGACUGCCAGGCCAAGCUGGUCAGUGCCACUACUGGCAAGGUGAGUGGACCUGGAGCCCGGCUGGGUCCUCCGCUUUCCCGACUCCUCUCCUUCCUUCCUGGGUCUUCACUGUCUCCUCUCCCCACCAUCUUUCUCUCCAUCAAGCACCCGGAUUCCGGGUCCUCCUCUGAUCCUCUCUGGCUUUCAGGUGGUGGGUGUUUUUAGACCUGAGACUGUGGCCUCCCAGCCCAGCCUGGGAGAAGGGGAGGAGAGUGAGUCCAACUCGGUGGAGUCCUUGGGCUUCUGCAGUGUGUGAGUGAGGAUGGGGAGAGGGGUUUGUGGGAGGGGCCUGGGCUGGGGGCCCGGGGGGAGGGCAGGGCGUGUGAGUCCAGGCCCUCAUGAGUCUUCAUGGUACGCUUCUCUGCCCAGGAUGCCCCUGGCAGCUGUUGGCUACCUGGAUGGGACCUUGGCCAU
rnacentral:sRNA from 1 species